CAUAUUUUCGUCCUCCUUUUGAUUGGAUUUAGAUGGGCUGGGAUCAGAUCCAACUUCUUGUCCACUUCGCAAGGUGAUGGCUUUGGCAGAUUCGAAGCCUCCCUUUGGAUUCACAUCCGUCGAACUAGGUAACUUACCUGGCUCUCUACUAAAUUGCCCCAUGAACUCAACCAUUUGUCCCAUCUAUCUCUUCAAUUCAGUCGCAUCUCAAGCUUGAUUUUUCACUUCCUUGGCGUAAUUGUGCAUAUCUUUGGCUUGAUUUUCCUGACCCUUCGCCAACGUAGUUAGUAACUGAAUAACUUGAGCAUUAUCAAAAGACAAACCUGAGUUAU
rnacentral:lncRNA from 1 species